AUGCAGGGCAGUGGGCGCUAGAGUGGAGCGGUGACUGUGGGUGUUGACUGAGUCUCUGCUCUAGUGGGGCUGACGUGGAUGGGAUGGGAGAGGGAGGCAGGGAUGAGGGCAAGAUUUCACGCAUCAAUUGUAUUUUGUGUAGCGAUGGCUCUUGCUUGGCUUAUUUGCUGCACUUGCAGAGAAAUCAUCGGGGAGCAGCAGCAGGAGGAGAAACUAGCAGAUGCGGACCUGAGCAGCCUGGACAUCCUUCUAAGCACAGAUUAACAGUCUUCAGCUUUCUGCCUUCCACAUAACUGCCUGGCCAAGAGAAAAGAAGUGGAGGGUCAGCGUCGGCUCAUCUCAUGAUACGGAAAGCGAGUGAGAGCGACGAGAUUGCAAGCAUUUUGGAUGCCAGGCAACAGCCGUCCAGCUGGGAGCGGAGCAGCCGCCACUAUCAAUGAGAUAAGUAUCUGUUUUGGUGAUUGCUCUGCUCACUGCCCACCUGAAUCCAGAUACAAACGCCCCAUUAGCUGGGACUGGGUUUGUAACAAAAUAUUCCUGACUAGGUGUGGGUUCUGAAGGAGACAAGGUCCCCAUUUUCAGGGGCUGCUCAUUUCUUUGUUCACAAGCGCUGUGUUCUCUGCAGAAAAAGUUGGAUCCAGGAGGUUGAUUCCAGGUGGCGAGUUGCUUGCCUUCCUCCUGUGUUUUUUUUCUCUUUCUUCUCCAGUACGUUGGCCAACACACAUCCUUUCUCUUUCUGUCCUUGCUUUUCCUAGUGCUGUCUCCCUUCGUACGACACGAGCACGUGUGCUUGGUGUGCACCCCCACAGGGUAGGUCUCGGGAGCCAUGAUGAAGUAGGAGGGGACGAAAAUUGUGCAAGGUAGCGGGCGCAGGAGUGGAAGGGUGACUGUCAGUGUUAACUUGGUCUCUGUUCAUCAAGUGGGGUAGAUGUAGGUGGGCUGGAAGAGGGAGGCAGGGAUGAGGGCAAGAUUUCAAGCAUCAAUAGAGAUGUGUGUAGUGAUGGCUCAUGCUUGGCUUUUGCAGAUCCAUUUCCAGAGGAAUUUCCCAGGAGCCAUAGCCAGAGGAGAAGUUGGCAGAUGUGGACAUGAGGAAACUGAACAUCCUUCUGAGCAGACACGAUCAGUCCUCGGCUUUCUGCUUCCCGCAUAACUGGCUGUGUAAACCGUGGGAUACAGGAGCUGUAAAAUGAAGAGACUACGCGACAUUGCAGACAGAGAUGCUAUUUUCUUUUUUUGCUUUUCUCCCCUCUGCUGGGUUUAGUACCAAGGAAAAAGAAGUCACACGUCAGAGUCUACUGUCCUUGUGCGAUGGCAAGUGAGUGAGAGCAGCGAGCCUGUGAGCAUUGUUCAUGCCAGGCAAGAGCAGUCCAUCUGGGAGUUGAGCAGAGGCCACUAUCACUGAGAUAAGUGUCUGGUUUGGUGAUUGCUCUGCUCACGGUUCAGCUCCUGGUAGGGACACCCCAUUAGCAAGGUCUGGGUUUGUAAGAAAAGGUUCCUAACUAGUGGUUAUGAAGG